UGCGCGGUCGCGUGCACUAUUCAUCCGCCCAAUGAGCUCUGCUCUGCAUCCAGGCGUGGAAAAUGGAGGCCGGCUUGUGGACUCCCUUUUCCUCCGCGUUCUCUCUCUCCCCCGCACUCCAACGCUGCUUUCCAAAUAGUUCGUCUUCUUCAAGCACGAGCGUCGCCUCUAGUUCCUGUCUGUGGCUCCGGCCGUGUUGUUGUCCAUGUGAUGGAAGCCUGACCAGAGUGUAAACCUCAUCGGGCUAGAGAGAGAUUCCCGGGAAGCGCAUGAUGCUCAUCGUCGACGAUUGGUCGCUCAAGUCACCGCUAAGAGGGAAGAAGUUAUUCAAGCUUAGGAUACAUCCACCACAACAGAUGAAGCCACAGAUGAAGGUGCGAGCAGUGAAGGUGCGAGCCGAAGUUGGUAACUUCGACAAUGGAGAAAAGCUUCGAGCGCAAGCCAGCGAAGGAGAAGAAGUCAAAACUUGCGCAGCAAAAAAGAAAGGGAAAAGACGACAAUGUCCCUGUAUCAUUUGUAAAUCAUGUGUGUAAACCCCAUGGACAUGUAUGUAAUUUUCUACGAUGCCAUUCAACUUUCUUAUAUAUAGGUGAACAGUGCCCUACUUAGGCGGACCUUUUUGAAGGGCCUUAGCUUCAUUUUGCUUAGCAUCCAAAACACCUUUGUAUUAUUUUGUGCCAAAAAGCCCAAGGUAUGUGUACAUUUGUUUAACAUGAAUGAAAAUGAAAUAAAAAUGAUAAGGCAUUCAAGAUGA